rnacentral:rRNA from 1 species
GAGUUUGAUCCUGGCUCACCCCCCACAAAGGGGGGCAGGCCUAACACAUGCAAGUCGAGCGUCCCCGAGUUAACUGAACCUUCGGGGAACGUUAACGGCGUCGAGCGGCGGACGGGUGAGUAAUGCCUGGGAAAUUGCCCUGAUGUGGGGGAUAACCAUUGGAAACGAUGGCUAAUACCGCAUAAUAGCUUCGGCUCAAAGAGGGGGACCUUCGGGCCUCUCGCGUCAGGAUAUGCCCAGGUGGGAUUAGCUAGUUGGUGAGGUAAUGGCUCACCAAGGCGACGAUCCCUAGCUGGUCUGAGAGGAUGAUCAGCCACACUGGAACUGAGACACGGUCCAGACUCCUACGGGAGGCAGCAGUGGGGAAUAUUGCACAAUGGGCGCAAGCCUGAUGCAGCCAUGCCGCGUGUAUGAAGAAGGCCUUCGGGUUGUAAAGGACUUUCAGCAGUGAGGAAGGUGGGUAUGUU